UACGGAGGAUGCGAGCGUUAUCCGGAUUUAUUGGGUUUAAAGGGUGCGUAGGCGGACGCUUAAGUCAGCGGUAAAAUUGCGGGGCUCAACCUCGUCGAGCCGUUGAAACUGGGUGCCUUGAGUGGGCGAGAAGUACGCGGAAUGCGUGGUGUAGCGGUGAAAUGAAUAGAUAUCACGCAGAACUCCGAUUGCGAAGGCAGCGUACCGGCGCCCUACUGACGCUGAAGCACGAAGGCGUGGGUAUCGAACAGG
rnacentral:rRNA from 1 species